UACGAGAGGCCCAAACGUUAUUCGGAUUUACUGGGCUUAAAGAGUUCGUAGGCGGCUUGGAAAGUGGGGUGUGAAAGCCCUCGGCUCAACUGAGGAAUUGCGCUCCAAACUACCGAGCUUGAGUAGGCUAGAGGUGAGCAGAACUGAUGGUGGAGCGGUGAAAUGCGUUGAUAUCAUCAGGAAUACCGGAGGCGAGGGCGGCUCACUGGGGGUUUUCUGGACGCUGAGGGACGAAAGCCAGGGUAGCGAACGGG
rnacentral:rRNA from 1 species